AGAGCAACAAAAGUUUCUCUACAAACUUCUGGGAUUUAAUUAUUCCAUCGAAUAUAAACCCGGGAAGGAGAAUGUGGUUGCGGAUGGUCUAUCGAGAAUGUUUGAAGAGCAAGUGGUGGAACAAAAAGGCUCAAUAUUUGCUAUUUCAAGGCCUAUUAAUGCAUUGCUGGAAAAAAUUAAGUUGGAAUGCAGAAAUUCGAAAUCAAUCGAAGAAGAGAUGAAAGGCAUGGAAUGUAAAGGUAUUCCUAAUUCUGAUUUCUCGAUUAUCAAUGGGUUAUUAUACUUCAGAGGCAAGUUGAUGUUGUUAAAGGAAACAGAACAUAAGAAUGAAAUACUGCAAGAAUUUCAUAAUUCAUAUUAUGGUGGACAUUCAGGAGUGGAAAGAACUCUUAAAAGAAUUCAAUCAGUUUUGUGGUGGAGAGGCAUGACAGCUGAUAUUAAAAAGUUUGUAGUUGAAUGCAGGACUUGUCAACAAAUGAAAGUCCCACAUCAGAAAAGCCAAGGAUUACUUAGUCCCUUACCAAUUCCUAAAGAUGUAUGGGAGGACGUCUCUAUGGAUUUUAUUACCGGCCUACCGAAAGUCAGAAACAAAACAGUGAUUGUGGUAGUAGUUGAUAGAUUAACCAAAUACUGCCAUGUGGGAGCGCUUCCUACUGAGUAUUCAGCAACGGGCGUUGCAGAAUUUUUCGUUAAUUCUAUAAUAAGGCUACAUGGCAUGCCACGAUCCGUUGUAUCAGAUCGUGACAAGGUUUUUACGGGUAAAUUCUGGAAAGAAAUCCACCGGUUAAGUGGCACAACGAUCAAGACCUCUUCUGCCUACCACCCACAAACAGAUGGUCAGACGGAGGUUACAAAUAGAGGGAUAGAACAUUACCUGAGAUCACUCUGCCAUGAUGAUCCAAGGAGAUGGGUACAACUACUGCCGUGGGCAGAACUGUGGUUUAACUCAACUUUCAACACUUCAAUCGGGAUGACACCAUUUCUGGCCUUAUAUGGGAGAGAUCCUCCAACACUGGCAGGGUAUAGCCCGGGGAGCUCAGUAGUUGAUGCAGUCGAUAAGGAGCUAUGUAGAAGGAAAGAAAUAAUUAGUCUUGUGCAAAAAAAUAUGAAAAGAGCUCAGGAUAGAAUGAAGUACUAUGCAGAUAAAGGAAGAAAGGAGAUUACAUUAAAUAUAGGAGAUUGGGUAUGGGUUCGUCUCCAACCGUAUCGUCAAGUGACAGUGGCUCACAGGCUUCACCCCAAACUAUCACCCCGAUAUUUUGGUCCCUACAAAAUCGUCAAAAAAAUCGGAGAAGUAGCAUACAAAUUAGAUUUACCGAUGGGGAGUAAAAUUCAUGAUGUGUUUCAUAUAUCCAGGUUAAAGCAGGUCAAAGGAAAGAUAACGGAAGAAGACGAAAAGAUUUUACCUGAGUUGGUGGUUGGAAACGAGCAUGUACCGAUACCGGUGAAGAUUGUCGGCAAAAGAACAAGGCUAUGUCAAGGAAAAAACGUAAUGGAGGUGCUGGUCCAGUGGGAGGGUACAUCUGUAGAAGAAGCAACAUGGGAGGGUACACGUGAACUUGCGGAGCUCUUUCCGUCAAUGAACCUUGAGGGCAAGGUUCGUCCGUUAGAGGAUGGCAAUGUUACGAUCACACUGGAUACUCAUGCUUGCAAGAGUGACAUGAAGACAGAGAUCCUUAGAAGAGAGAUGGAGGCAGCUCCAAGUAGAGAACGGGAUGAAGAAGUUAUCAUAGAGCCAACGGACAAGGAGGUUGCUGCUGAGAAAAAUCUGGAAGAGAAGGAGCUGCUACAAAAGAUUGGGGCAAGAUCUAAGGUUAGAUCUUCCACUGUGGGAUCUGACACAAUCAAAGCUAUAGCUAAAGAGGAUGUGCAGGCUGGGAAACGUGUGAGGAGGAGGCCUGCCCAUUAUGCUGACUAUGAGAUGGAAUCAUAAGGAUCUUAGUAUUUUAAUUAAUUUCGUUUGGCCCAUGUAGUCAGGCCCAAUUGUCAAGUAGGGUUAAGCCUUUCCUAUAUAAGGCAAACUAUGACCUAAACAAAGACAGCUUAUGAAAAAUGAAAGAGCUCUAGCUCUAUCUACCUUCCUAAAUUUCUCUCCAUUCUUAUUCCAAUCCCUUCUCAAUUCUUCCCCAAAAUUCAUCUCCUAUCA
rnacentral:lncRNA from 1 species